rnacentral:rRNA from 1 species
GAUGAACGCUAGCUACAGGCUUAACACAUGCAAGUCGAGGGGCAGCAUGAACUUAGCUUGCUAAGUUUGAUGGCGACCGGCGCACGGGUGAGUAACACGUAUCCAACCUGCCGAUGACUCGGGGAUAGCCUUUCGAAAGAAAGAUUAAUACCCGAUGGCAUAGUUCUUCCGCCUGGUAGAACUAUUAAAGAAUUUCGGUCAUCGAUGGGGAUGCGUUCCAUUAGGUUGUUGGCGGGGUAACGGCCCACCAAGCCUUCGAUGGAUAGGGGUUCUGAGAGGAAGGUCCCCCACAUUGGAACUGAGACACGGUCCAAACUCCUACGGGAGGCAGCAGUGAGGAAUAUUGGUCAAUGGACGAGAGUCUGAACCAGCCAAGUAGCGUGAAGGAUGACUGCCCUAUGGGUGGUAAACUUCUUUUAUACGGGAAUAAAGUGAGGCACGUGUGCCUUUUUGUAUGUACCGUAUGAAUAAGGAUCGGCUAACUCCGUG